rnacentral:pre_miRNA from 1 species
CUAGUACUCCCUCCGUCCGAAAAUACUUGUCAUUGAAAUGGAUGUAUCUAGAUGUAUUUUAGUUCUAGACACAUCCAUUUUGAUGACAAGUAAUUUCGGACUGAGGGAGUAUUAU